GAGACUCUGUGCGCGUGCAUAUCAAUAAGCGGAGGAAAAGAAACUAACAAGGAUUCCCCUAGUAACGGCGAGUGAAGCGGGAAGAGCUCAAAUUUGAAAUCUUCAAGGUUUGACCUUGACGAAUUGUAGUUUAAAGAAGUGUUUUCGGUUAGAGGAGUAGUAAAAGUUCUUUGGAAUAGGACAUCAUAGAGGGUGAGAAUCCCGUAUUUGACUAUUCUUUCUAGCUUUGUGAUACACUUUCAAAGAGUCGGAUUGUUUGGGAAUGCAGUCCAAAAUGGGUGGUAAAUUUCAUCUAAAGCUAAAUAUUGGCGAGAGACCGAUAGCGAACAAGUACCGUGAGGGAAAGAUGAAAAGAACUUUGAAAAGAGAGUUAAACAGUACGUGAAAUUGUCAAAAGGGAAGCGUUUGACACCAGUGUUGUUUUCUCGAAAAUCAAUUAAAAAUGGUGGGAUUUUGUGUUGUAUUGACUUUAUCAGCUUUCUGCACUUUUUUCCUAUCUUUUUUAAUGCACUUUUCGCUUAACAAGUCAACAUCAAUUUCUUUUGCUGUAAAAGAGUCAUUGGAAGGUGGCUUUUCUUUCGGAGAAAGUGUUUAUAGCCUUUGACUUCUGCAAUCGGAGAGAUUGAGGUCUGCAGCGUAGAUCCUUCGGGGUUAGAUACAUUUGUGCUAAGCUAUAGCCUUUCAUAGACAACUUGUUGACUAUGAUCAGUCAUGUAGCUUACUCGCUUAUGCUAUUUUACCUACGCUUAGGAUGUUGAUCUGUAGUGCGUGCGC
rnacentral:rRNA from 1 species